GCUGGGUGCGGUGGCGCAGGCCUGUAAUCCCAGUGGCUCAGGAGGCUGAGACAGGAGGAUCACGAGUUCACUAAAUUGCCUCAGCAAUUUAGUGAGGUCCUAGGCAACUCGGCCAGACCCUGUCUCUA
rnacentral:sRNA from 1 species